AUGAACGCUGGCGGCGUGCCUAAUCCAUGCAAGUCGAGCGAACGGACGAGAAGCUUGCUUCUCUGAUGUUAGCGGCGGACGGGUGAGUAACACGUGGAUAACCUACCUAUAAGACUGGGAUAACUUCGGGAAACCGGAGCUAAUACCGGAUAAUAUUUUGAACCGCAUGGUUCAAAAGUGAAAGACGGUCUUGCUGUCACUUAUAGAUGGAUCCGCGCUGCAUUAGCUAGUUGGUAAGGUAACGGCUUACCAAGGCAACGAUGCAUAGCCGACCUGAGAGGGUGAUCGGCCACACUGGAACUGAGACACGGUCCAGACUCCUACGGGAGGCAGCAGUAGGGAAUCUUCCGCAAUGGGCGAAAGCCUGACGGAGCAACGCCGCGUGAGUGAUGAAGGUCUUCGGAUCGUAAAACUCUGUUAUUAGGGAAGAACAUAUGUGUAAGUAACUGUGCACAUCCUGACGGUACCUAAUCAGAAAGCCACGGCUAACUACGUG
rnacentral:rRNA from 1 species